ACCUGGGUGGCUCAGUCGGUGAAGCAUUUGACUUUGGCUCAGGUCGUGAUCUCACCAUUCGUGGGUUCAAGCCCCACAUCAGGCU
rnacentral:tRNA from 1 species